rnacentral:rRNA from 1 species
AUUGAACGCUGGCGGCAGGCCUAACACAUGCAAGUCGAGCGGAUGAUGGGAGCUUGCUCUCUGAUUCAGCGGCGGACGGGUGAGUAAUGCCUAGGAAUCUGCCUGAUAGUGGGGGACAACGUUUCGAAAGGAACGCUAAUACCGCAUACGUCCUACGGGAGAAAGCAGGGGACCUUCGGGCCUUGCGCUAUCAGAUGAGCCUAGGUCGGAUUAGCUAGUUGGUGAGGUAAUGGCUCACCAAGGCGACGAUCCGUAACUGGUCUGAGAGGAUGAUCAGUCACACUGGAACUGAGACACGGUCCAGACUCCUACGGGAGGCAGCAGUGGGGAAUAUUGGACAAUGGGCGAAAGCCUGAUCCAGCCAUGCCGCGUGUGUGAAGAAGGUCUUCGGAUUGUAAAGCACUUUAAGUUGGGAGGAAGGGCAUUAACCUAAUACGUUAGUGUUUUGACGUUACCGACAGAAUAAGCACCGGCUAACUUCGUGCCG